AUCAGGGUAUGACAUUACUAAAGGCGAAUUGGUUAACAAACAAACACUAUCAUUAAUCAAGCAAAAAUUGAAGGAAAAGAAGCCUGAAAGUACCUGAAGGGAGCUUCGCUGGCGACAACUUAAACUCCAGAGAGUUUGUAAAAGCUCAGCUCAAGUUUGAUUAGAGCUUCAAUAUGAAUCUCUAACAGCUAUAGAGGAGAGCUUUUAUGUGAAGGUUUUGGGAGCUCAUAUUUUGCUUCAGAAUGUGAAGAUGGUGUUUUGUGGCAACUGAAUAUUGUAGGAUAGCUUAACUUAUAUAGUUGUAAAUUAGGUUUACGUGUAAAUGUAUGAGGCUUGACUCAAGUGUGUGACCCAAUAUAUUUUGAGUGAGAUUCGUGUGAGUGGCAGCAUGAAUUGUGUGAGGAUUAUGAGCUAUUAAGGAGAUAAGGAUGAGUGUGGGAUGUGAAUUAUUUGUGUGAAGAAUUAUUUUGUUGAUUUUGUGGGGAAUGGGAGCAAAUCGUGAGUGAUGUUGAGAAGGGUCCAUGUUCAAGUUUUUUCUUUUGUAUAAUUUUUAAUGUGAUUAUGUACUAUAUAACACUUGAAUAAUGGAAUAAAAUUCAGUUUGUAUUA